rnacentral:rRNA from 1 species
AUGGGGGGCAUGGGUUUUAGGGAUAUGAGGGCCUUUAACCAGGCCUUGUUGGCCAAACAGGCCUGGAGAUUACUAGACACGACGGAUAGCUUAUGUGCUCAUUUACUGAAAGCAAAGUACUAUCCCUCUGGUCAUCUGCUUGAUAUGGUCUUCCCUGGCAAUGGCUCUAUAGUUUGGAAGGGGAUUUUGCAUGGACUGGAGCUGUUGAAGAAGGGGGUCAUAUGGCGCAUGGGCAAUGGUACUUCAAUCCGUACAUGGCGGGACCCUUGGAUUCCGCGGCCCUACUCCUUCCGGCCAAUUUCUCCAAAAGGUUCAUGUCGUUUUCACCAUGUAUCGGAUUUCUUGGAUGACAAUGGUGUGUGGAAAGUGGACUGCUUGACAGGAGUGUUUUGGCCAAUGGACGUUGUUCAAAUCCUAACAAUCAGAACCUCACCUCGACAGCGUUCUGAUUUUCUAUCUUGGUUCCCGAAGAAGUGUGGUAUGUUUACGGUCAAAAGCGCUUACAAACUAGCAACUGAAGAGCACAACAGUAUAUACGAUGUUGGUGCCUCAAGCACGAACCCGAACGGUAAUCGUACUUUGUGGAAUCGUGUUUGGAAGUCACCAAUGCCUCAGAAAAUGAAGAUCACAACUUGGAAGGUGGUGACUGGUAUGCUAGCCACACAACAUACAAGAGGAUCAGACAUCUCUCUACACGAUCAACGUGCCCUCUAUGCGGAGUGGAAGAGGAAAGCACAUUUCAUGCGUUGA